UGAACAUCUCGGUUCCGGUUGAUCCACUUGAGUGGCAGAUCUCUCAGGACACUGCUAACAGCAUCGUCGCAUGGUUUGCUAAUACAAUAGGGGCGGCUGAGUCUGUCUUGAGGGUUGCUGCAACUGGGCAUGACAAGAGGCUAUUCUUCAAGGUUGCCAUUUGUCUGUAUAUUCUAUCAGCUUUGGGACGAUUGGUCUCAGGUUUUACUGUUGCUUAUGCUGCAUUAUGCCUGUUCUGUCUCUAUAUUCUUACUGAGAAAUCACAAUCAAGCAGCAGUUUUUUCUCUCGGAUUCGAAGGGGUAGUAAUGGUACUUCAUUAGAGUUAGAUAGCAUGUAGAUUGCAAGACAUCUCUUGUGUUAUUCAAUUGAGAGUUAAGAAUGCUGUAAAUAUGAGAUUGUAUUCAAGUCGCCCUGCUUUAGUUCAGGGAAACAUUAUCCUUUGACAACCUUUUAUGGUUGGUUUUAGAAAUUAAAUUGGAAUUUAAUUUCCG
rnacentral:misc_RNA from 1 species